UCUCCGUUGGUGAACCAGCGGAGGGAUCAUUACUGGAAUCGCAAGAUCCCACAAACCGUUGACCCUACCGAGACUUUGCCUCGGCGGGGGCCCCGCCUCUGCGCCGGGCGCUGCGCCCGCCGGCGUCCCCAUACGCCGUCUCUGCAGCGUGGCCUCUCAGCGUCCCAGAAAACAAGUCAAAACUUUCAACAACGGAUCUCUUGGCUCUA
rnacentral:misc_RNA from 1 species